GUGGGGAAUAUUGCACAAUGGGGGAAACCCUGAUGCAGCAACGCCGCGUGAGUGAUGACGGUCUUCGGAUUGUAAAACUCUGUCUUUAGGGACGAUAAUGACGGUACCUAAGGAGGAAGCCACGGCUAACUACGUGCCAGCAGCCGCGGUAAUACGUAGGUGGCAAGCGUUGUCCGGAUUUACUGGGCGUAAAGGGAGCGUAGGUGGAUAUUUAAGUGGGAUGUGAAAUACUCGGGCUUAACCUGAGUGCUGCAUUCCAAACUGGAUAUCUAGAGUGCAGGAGAGGAAAGUAGAAUUCCUAGUGUAGCGGUGAAAUGCGUAGAGAUUAGGAAGAAUACCAGUGGCGAAGGCGACUUUCUGGACUGUAACUGACACUGAGGCUCGAAAGCGUGGGGAGCAAACAGGAUUAGAUACCCCAGUAGUC
rnacentral:rRNA from 1 species